rnacentral:tRNA from 1 species
AGAGCGAUGUCCGAGUGGUCGAUGGAGCGGGCCUGGAAAGCUCGUAAUCGUGAUGAACGGUUCGUGGGUUCGAAUCCCACUCGCUCUGCCA